CGGACUGUAGGCUGCAACUCGCCUACACGAAGUUGGAAUUGCUAGUAAUCGCGGAUCAGCAUGCCACGGUGAAUACGUUCCCGGGUCUUGUACACACCGCCCGUCACACCAUGGGAGCUGGUAACACCCGAAGUCAGUAGUCUAACCGCAAGGAGGACGCUGCCGAAGGUGGGAUUAGCGACUGGGGUGAAGUCGUAACAAGGUAAC
rnacentral:rRNA from 1 species